rnacentral:lncRNA from 1 species
GCGGAUUGUGAAUAAAAAAAAGCUGCAGUAUAUAUACACCAAGAAGAGCAACUCAAAGUGAAUGGGAGAGAGAGGCAAGCUAGGCGCAGCAGCUAAGUAGCAGUAGGAAGGGAAGGCACCGAGAAAUAGUGCUUCGCCUCCAGCAUGGCGCGCUCAUUCUUGCACGCCUUGUCAACGCAUUCCACCUCCUUAGCGCCGAGAUUUUCUUCCUCAGUUUGAGGCCCGGGCAUAGUGAAGAUAAGAGGUAGAAGGGGAGAUAGAUGCGCUGUGGUGUGCUGGGGAUCGAAGUUGCGGUAACCAGCAGCUAGGAUGCGGUAGUUGCCGUCAAGGCCCGGGCAUAGUGAAGAUAAGAGGUAGAAGGGGAGA